CAGACAGAGACAUCUCACUUCUGUUCCAUGUUUGUUGGGAGUCACACAUGCGCGGUACCUAGGUAAGGACUACUAGCCAGUCAGAAGCAGAGUAUGAGGGUGUGUCCUGACAGUAUCUAGGAGGACUACUAGCCAGUCAGAAGCAGAGUAUGAGGGCACUGACAGUAUCUAGGUAAGGACUACUAGCCAGU